rnacentral:lncRNA from 1 species
UUUUUUUUUUUUUCCUGACACUGGAACUAAACCCUAUGAAUAAAUCCAACUAAUUUCAUCCUCCGUCCUCAGAUGCCCAGGCAGCUAGCAGAGUCCUGUAUAUGACGGGAAUUAGCAAUAAGUUGGCUGAGUACUUUUUUCCCAAAAUAUUUUAUUAAUAGUACAAGUUAUUGAUUGCGUCCCAGGAAGUUUAUGGCAAAAACAUUAAACAGACCUGGUGUUGAUAAGACUUGUGGUGCAUUUAGUCCAAAGCUUUCUGGGUUCUCCACCCUAAGCAUUUUAUUUUAGUAAUUGAUCUGGGUUGAAAUCGGUCUAAAGUGGAAUUAUUAUCUCCAAAUGAUUUCAAAGUUUUACUAAACUUAAUUUCUUGGGCUGCUUUGCUGCCUAAUACAACAAAGAUGUUGAAGUAUACCAGACACACUAUUCUGAUUUCCCAGAUAACCUCUGAGUGACUGAUUCAGGGAUGACGGCAGCUUUGUUCUCAUAACUGACUAUUUAAGGAACACUUUUGGCAUCACAAAUUACGAAAAAAAAAAGAAAAAAAUAGGGAAAAAGUUCAGUUGAAUAAUCCUCAGAGGGAAGCAGAAAUCAGGAACUCUAUUCAAAGUCCUUGGACACAUGUGAGGUUUGCCUGAGGUCCCUAAAGUUUUCUCCCUUCAAUCUGUUCACCCCUCUGUGUCACCCUUCAGAGCCCUCGGGCCUCUCCUUUCCUCUUGCGAACCGAAAAGAGAAUUUGAUACAUUCAGUCACCUUAAGAUGUCACAGGUUGAUGCAAUUUAAUGUAUCACCCUCUUCUUGCAAAAGAGCUGCCAGGCAAGAAAAAUCAAGUCAAUAGUGUCAUAUUAGUGACCUGGAUAUAUGUGAACCACUGUUUUUUCUUUUUUAGAAAUUUUAAAAUCAAGUCAGGUGAGGCAUGAUUCUCUCAGCAUACUUAUAUUGACAAAGCAUGCCUUUUUAAAAAAGUGGCCUGUGCCCUCAGUGAACUUAAUGUGUAGUGGUGGCAUUUACAGGCUGCUUUUCUUCUUCUAGAGACAAUUUAUGAGGAUGCUCCCCAAUACUAUCUGUAGCUAUCCCUGCCCCAACUACUCAGAGAGAAUCUGUCAGAGAUGUGAUCUGAAUCCACUAAAGCCCAUAUGGCAAAUUUCUUCAGCAUACCAGAAAAAAAAGCAAACUUUAGACUGACAUUCAAGGCCAUCCAUGAUCUGACCACAUCUGCCUUAUUAAUCUUAUUUCUCAGUAAUCCCUAACCAUAUACAAAUGAAACAGUUUCGGGUUUUUAGGUAGAUGCUACAUUUUCAUGCUUUUUUAGCAAUCAAUUACAGUGGAAACAACCCCAAGACUUAGUGGUUGAAACAAUAUGCAUUCAUUAUCCUAUUGUCAGUUACAGUAGGUCAAGAAUUGAGGACCUGCUUAGCCAUGCAUUUCUGGCUUGAAAUUUCUCAGAAGGUGGCAGUCAUGCCUGGACUUGAGGGUCUGCUGCCAAGGUGUCUCACUAGCAAGUUGGGGCUGGUUAUUGGUGACAGGCCUCAGUUUCUUUCCACAUGGGUCUCUCGCAGGACUGUCUGAGUAUAGCUACUGGCUUCCCCCUAAGUGAGUGAUCCCAA